GACGAACGCUGGCGGCGCGCCUAACACAUGCAAGUCGAGCGGAGAUACUUGAAGGAAGUUUUCGGAUGGAAUUUGAGUAUUUUAGCGGCGGACGGGUGAGUAACGCGUGAGUGACCUGCCUUCCACAGGGGGAUAACGUACCGAAAGGUACACUAAUACCGCAUGAGACCACAGCACUGCCUGGUGCAGGGGUCAAAGGAGCAAUCCGGUGGAAGAUGGACUCGCGUCCGAUUAGAUAGUUGGUGGGGCAACGGCCUACCAAGUCAGCGAUCGGUAGCCGACCUGAGAGAGUGAUCGGCCACAUUGGAACUGAGAGACGGUCCAAACUCCUACGGGAGGCAGCAGUGGGGAAUAUUGGGCAAUGGGGGAAACCCUGACCCAGCGACGCCGCGUGAGGGAAGAAGGUUUUCGGAUUGUAAACCUCUGUUCUUGGUGAAGAGGGAAAGACGGUAGCCAAGGAGGAAGCCCCGGCUAACUACGUGCCAGCCGCCGCGGUAAGAC
rnacentral:rRNA from 1 species